rnacentral:rRNA from 1 species
GACGAACGCUGGCGGCGUGCUUAACACAUGCAAGUCGAACGAUGAACCCGGAGCUUGCUCUGGGGGAUUAGUGGCGAACGGGUGAGUAACACGUGAGUAACCUGCCCUGGACUCUGGGAUAAGCGUUGGAAACGACGUCUAAUACCGGAUAGGACCUUGGAUCGCAUGAUCUGGGGUGGAAAGUUUUUUCGGUCUGGGAUGGACUCGCGGCCUAUCAGCUUGUUGGUGAGGUAAUGGCUCACCAAGGCGUCGACGGGUAGCCGGCCUGAGAGGGUGACCGGCCACACUGGGACUGAGACACGGCCCAGACUCCUAUGGGAGGCAGCAGUGGGGAAUAUUGCACAAUGGGCGAAAGCCUGAUGCAGCAACGCCGCGUGCGGGAUGACGGCCGUCGGGUUGUAAACCGCUUUUAGUAGGGAAGAAGGGCUUCGGCUUGACGGUACCUGCAGAAAAAGGACCGGCUAACUACGUG